UGGAGGAAUACCGGUGGCGAAGGCGGCCCCCUGGACAAAGACUGACGCUCAGGUGCGAAAGCGUGGGGAGCAAACAGGAUUAGAUACCCUGGUAGUCCACGCCGUAAACGAUGUCGAUUUGGAGGUUGUGCCCUUGAGGCGUGGCUUCCGGAGCUAACGCGUUAAAUCGACCGCCUGGGGAGUACGGCCGCAAGGUUAAAACUCAAAUGAAUUGACGGGGGCCCGCACAAGCGGUGGAGCAUGUGGUUUAAUUCGAUGCAACGCGAAGAACCUUACCUGGUCUUGACAUCCACAGAACUUUCCAGAGAUGGAUUGGUGCCUUCGGGAACUGUGAGACAGGUGCUGCAUGGCUGUCGUCAGCUCGUGUUGUGAAAUGUUGGGUUAAGUCCCGCAACGAGCGCAACCC
rnacentral:rRNA from 1 species